rnacentral:rRNA from 1 species
UACGGGGGGGGCGAGCGUUGUCCGAAGUUACUGGGCGUAAAGCGCGCGUAGGCGGGUUCCUAAGUCUGCUGUGAAAGCCCGAAGCUCAACUUCGGAGGGUCGGUGGAUACUGGGAGCCUUGAAGGUGCUAGGGAGAAGUGGAAUUACCGGUGUAGCGGUGAAAUGCGUAGAGCUCGGUAGGAACACCAGUGGCGAAGGCGGUUCUCUGGGCCUGACCUGACGCUGAGGAGCGAAAGCGUGGGGAGCGAACAGG